UACAGAGGGGGCAAGCGUUAUUCGGAAUUAUUGGGCGUAAAGGGCGCGUAGGCGGCCUGGCAAGUGGAUGGUGAAAUCCCUCGGCUUAACCGAGGAACUGCCAUCCAGACUGCUUGGCUUGAGACCGGGAGAGGUGAGUGGAAUUCCCAGUGUAGCGGUGAAAUGCGUAGAUAUGUGGAGGAACACCAGUGGCGAAGGCGACUCUCUGGUCUGUAACUGACGCUGAGGCGCGAAAGCGUGGGGAGCAAACAGG
rnacentral:rRNA from 1 species